rnacentral:tRNA from 1 species
GAAAAGAUAAGCUAAAUAAGCUAUUAGGUUCAUACCCUAACUAUAGAAAUAGAUUUCUUCUUUUUA